rnacentral:rRNA from 1 species
GACGAACGCUGGCGGCGUGCUUAACACAUGCAAGUCGAGCGGAAAGGCCACUUCGGUGGUACUCGAGCGGCGAACGGGUGAGUAACACGUGAGUAAUCUGCCCUUGGCUUUGGGAUAGCCACCGGAAACGGUGAUUAAUACCGGAUAUGACCACUUCACGCAUGUGAUGGUGGUGGAAAGUUUUUCGGCCAGGGAUGUGCUCGCGGCCUAUCAGCUUGAUGGUGAGGUAAUGGCUCACCAUGGCUUCGACGGGUAGCCGGCCUGCGAGGGUAACCGGUCACACUGGGACUGAGAAACGGCCCAGACUCCUACAGGAGGCAGCAGUGGGGAAUAUUGGACAAUGGGCGGAAGCCUGAUCCACCAACGCCGCGUGAGGGAUGACGGCCUUCGGGUUGUAAACCUCUUUCGCCUAUGACGAAGCGCAAGUGACGGUAAUAGGUAAAGAAGCACCGGCCAACUACGUGCCAGCAGCCGCAGUAACAC